rnacentral:rRNA from 1 species
GACGAACGCUGGCGGCGUGCUUAACACAUGCAAGUCGAACGGAAAGGCCCUGCUUUUGUGGGGUGCUCGAGUGGCGAACGGGUGAGUAACACGUGAGUAACCUGCCCUUGACUUUGGGAUAACUUCAGGAAACUGGGGCUAAUACCGGAUAGGAGCUCCUGCUGCAUGGUGGGGGUUGGAAAGUUUCGGCGGUUGGGGAUGGACUCGCGGCUUAUCAGCUUGUUGGUGGGGUAGUGGCUUACCCAGGCUUUGACGGGUAGCCGGCCUGAGAGGGUGACCGGCCACAUUGGGACUGAGAUACGGCCCAGACUCCUACGGGGGGCAGCAGUGGGGAAUAUUGCACAAUGGGCGGAAGCCUGAUGCAGCAACGCCGCGUGCGGGAUGACGGCCUUCGGGUUGUAAACCGCUUUCGCCUGUGACGAAGCGUGAGUGACGGUAAUGAGUAAGGAAGCACCGGCUAACUACGUG